rnacentral:ribozyme from 1 species
ACAAAAGAAGGAAACAAGAAGAAGAAAACAGAAAAACAAAAAAGGAAAAAGCAAAAGCUAGGUGUAUUUCGGCAGAUUCAUAACUUUUCCGCCAUGUUUGUUUUUCACC